rnacentral:lncRNA from 1 species
GCGGACCAGGCCUCGCGAUGUUGCCUAAUAAGCCGUUCGUCUGCGUUAUGCAGGUUCUGCUGGCACAGUUGGCCGCUCUUCAGCUGGUCGGGAUUCAGCCGGACGGGACUCAAGUCGAUGCAUGCGUGGAUCCAACAGCACGCACUGCACCGCAUCGUCAGUGCUUCUGGCUUCACGUUAUCAACUCGCCAUACCACGUGACUUCAUCAGACACCUUUAUAAGGGCCAUGCCGCAUCGCUUCAACUUCAGUGGGUGUGGCGGACCAGGCCUCGCGAUGUUGCCUAAUAAGCCGUUCGUCUGCGUUAUGCAGGACUCCUACAUCGCCAAGGGCAAG